rnacentral:rRNA from 1 species
GAUGAACGCUGGCGGCGUGCUUAACACAUGCAAGUCGAACGGAAAGGCCCAAGCUUGCUUGGGUACUCGAGUGGCGAACGGGUGAGUAACACGUGGGUGAUCUGCCCUGCACUUCGGGAUAAGCCUGGGAAACUGGGUCUAAUACCGGAUAGGACCACUUCUUGGAUGUUGUGGUGGAAAGUUUUUUCGGUGUGGGAUGAGCUCGCGGCCUAUCAGCUUGUUGGUGGGGUAAUGGCCUACCAAGGCGUCGACGGGUAGCCGGCCUGAGAGGGUGUACGGCCACAUUGGGACUGAGAUACGGCCCAGACUCCUACGGGAGGCAGCAGUGGGGAAUAUUGCACAAUGGGCGCAAGCCGGAUGCAGCGACGCCGCGUGGGGGAUGACGGCCUUCGGGUUGUAAACGCCUUUCGCGAGGGACGAAGCGUUUUGUGACGGUACCUGGAGAAGAAGCACCGGCUAACUACGUG